UACGUAGGGGGCAAGCGUUGUUCGGAUUCAUUGGGCGUAAAGGGCGCGUAGGCGGCGCGGUAAGUCGGGUGUGAAAUCUCGGGGCUUAACUCCGAAACUGCAUUCGAUACUACCGUGCUUGAGGACUGGAGAGGAGACUGGAAUUUACGGUGUAGCGGUGAAAUGCGUAGAUAUCGUAAGGAAGACCAGUGGCGAAGGCGGGUCUCUGGACAGUUCCUGACGCUGAGGCACGAAGGCCAGGGGAGCAAACGGG
rnacentral:rRNA from 1 species